rnacentral:rRNA from 1 species
CCUACGGGAGGCAGCAGUAGGGAAUCUUCCGCAAUGGACGAAAGUCUGACGGAGCAACGCCGCGUGAACGAAGAAGGUUUUCGGAUCGUAAAGUUCUGUUGUUAGGGAAGAACAAGUACCGUUCAAAUAGGGCGGUACCUUGACGGUACCUAUCGAGGAAGCCCCGGCUAACUACGUGCCAGCAGCCGCGGUAAU